AGUGGCGAAAGGGUGAGUAACGCGCGGGUAAUCUGCCUUUAAGUUGGGGAUAGCUCUGCGAAAGCGGAAUUAAUACCGAAUGUGGUCAUGGCGCACAUGCGCCAUUAUCCCAAAGCCGGGGACCGUAAGGCUCUGGCGCUUAAGGAUGAACCCACGUACUAUCAGCUUGUUGGUGAGGUAACGGCUCACCAAGGCUAUGACGGUUAGCUGGUCUGAGAGGAUGGUUCAGCCACACUGGGACUGAGACACUGCCCAGACUCCUACGGGAGGCUGCAGUCGAGGAUCAUUCGCAAUGCGCGAAAGCGUGACGGUGCGACGCCGCGUGCAGGAUGAAGGCCUUCGGGUCGUAAACUGCUGUCAUGAGGGAGCAAUGUCCGGAAUGCUAACAUCAUUUCGGGGUGAUAGUACCUCAAGAGGAAGCCACGGCUAACUCUGUGCCAGCAGCCGCGGUAAUACAGAGGCGGCGAGCGUUGUUCGGAUUUACUGGGCGUAAAGGGUGCGUAGGCGGUUCUGUGUGUCGGAUGUGAAAUCUCACAGCUUAACUGUGGAAUGGCAUUCGAAACUACAGGGCUGAAGUACAGGAGAGGAGAGCGGAAUUCUUGGUGUAGCGGUGAAAUGCGUAGAUAUCAAGAGGAACACCGGUGGCGAAGGCGGCUCUCUGGACUGAUACUGACGCUGAGGGACGAAAGCUGGGGGAGCAAACGGGAUUAGAUACCCUGGUAGUCCCAGCCCUAAACGGUGUGCACUUGGUGUGGGAGGGAUUGUUCCCUCCCGGCGCCGUAGCUAACGCGUUAA
rnacentral:rRNA from 1 species